AGUGAACGCUGGCGGUAGGCCUAACACAUGCAAGUCGAACGGCAGCACAGUAAGAGCUUGCUCUUACGGGUGGCGAGUGGCGGACGGGUGAGGAAUACAUCGGAAUCUACUUUUUCGUGGGGGAUAACGCAGGGAAACUUACGCUAAUACCGCAUACGACCUACGGGUGAAAGCAGGGGAUCUUCGGACCUUGCGCGAUUGAAUGAGCCGAUGUCGGAUUAGCUAGUUGGCGGGGUAAAGGCCCACCAAGGCGACGAUCCGUAGCUGGUCUGAGAGGAUGAUCAGCCACACUGGAACUGAGACACGGUCCAGACUCCUACGGGAGGCAGCAGUGGGGAAUAUUGGACAAUGGGCGCAAGCCUGAUCCAGCCAUACCGCGUGGGUGAAGAAGGCCUUCGGGUUGUAAAGCCCUUUUGUUGAGAAAGAAAAGCAGCAGGUUAAUACCCCGCUGUUCUGACGGUACCCAAAGAAUAAGCACCGGCUAACUUCGUG
rnacentral:rRNA from 1 species